GGUUUUUCCCCAUUUUAUUUCCCGCCGUUUUUGGCGCUCUGCAGAAAUGCAGGAACCGUUAAAGGGCUGGGGCUCUUGCCAAGCGAUCUAGGCGAGACAGGUACAGGAGCCCUGAGAGAACAAAACAUUGGCAACGCAAGUAGACAGAAGGGAGUCAGCCCAUAUUCAACUUCUGCAUAUCCAGCUGGCCCUGCCUACCUACCCCAACUUCCCCUGAACCAUCUAGUGGGGUUUCUCACUUCUUCCAGCCACCUCCCACUAGUAACUACCUCUUGCCCUCAGCCACCCUGUCCAUUUGUGACAUCACAGGAAGUUUGUAGCCCAUGGCAACUGCUUAGGGGUGCAUCUGCACAGCCUCCCAUCCUGGUACCGGAAAGGGGAAUGUCAUGAACUUUACUUAGAUGUAUUUAGAAAUACCUUGAUUUAGAAGUAGAAGAUGGCUUGCUUAAGCUCUGCCGUCCCCUUCAUUGCUGCUUUCAGGGAAAGCUUUGUUGGCUUAUGACAUCCAUGAAAGACAAACACAGAUAUGGUGAGGGGAAUGGCCCUCGUUCAACAGUUAUCAUCCAACCACCUCCAUUGGCCAGCCUGCCAACCUCCUCUGGCUUCCACCCAUGAAUAUCUAGUGGUUCAUUCACCCAGAGCCUGGACGGCAACCUACACCGCUAUCUGAACAUGCAAUUCCCAGGCAUAGCAUGUCUGGUGGGUGACCUAUAUCCACAUUCUCCAUUCAUACUUACCCCAGCAUCAACCCACAAAUAUCCACACAGCUUUUGUCAGUGGCCUUCUGAAGGUGAAUUUCAACCAGCUUGCGUGCACAAACUUCAGCCUCCUUCAACCCUGCGGCAUCCCAGGCUUCCACAUGCUAAUCACAGCUUCUGCCAGGUCCAUCGCCAGCUUCAAACCAUGGAUAUCUGCCGCUUUCAAGCCGCGGUCCUGCUCAGCAGGUACAUUUGCCUUCUCGUUGCUCCACAACAUCUCAUUGACGGAUGAUGGCCUCCUUCCAUUUGCCACUUGGCCUCCACGCGGAAGGAGAUCACCAAGUACUGAAUAACACAACUGUUUUCCGCUGUGUCCUUUUCAAGCUUUGCCUUGGGCUUUCCCCUUGGGCCGCUUUUGUAUAUCCACUGAGCUGCCAUGUGCUUAUGUGACAUCACAGGGCGUCCACAGCCAAUAACAGCAGCUGGACAGGCAUCAUCAUCAUCGCCUCCUCAGGCCUCACAAUGGUGGGUGCAGCUCAGCAGCCAUUUCCCCUUUGCUUGUUUGCUAUGUACAGCUCACUCCUUAUCUAUAAUGACAUCAGAAAAAGGCAUGCCAUAAAUCCACCUUCCCAUUUUGAUUCUCUGGCAUCCUAUCUGCAUAACCUAGCAAUCCCAAAAUAUAGACACACUUUUACACUCAAAAGAUUGAAUGUAUUCCCUUGGCUGUACUUGAGGGACAAUUCCAACAGAUUCCACACGAAAAACGUUUAUGUCCCUGUGGAGAAGGCAGUACCGAAUCGGUGGCGCAUGCCCUUCUGGUUUGCACUCUUUAUAAAGACUUGAGGAAUAAGAUUAUCACCCCUCUUUUAUUGUCCAUUCUGGGUCUCCCAACCACUGCCACAGUGUCCUUUCUCUUGGCAGAUGAAGAUGAGCAGGUGACAGCAAAGGUUGCAAGGUUUUUAGCUGGGGCAAUCAGAAUAAGAUCCACCAUUUGACUGCUGAUUCAGGACCCUAAACUGUGUUUUAUAUAAUCAACUUUUUACUUCUGUUCUGUGUAUAUUGCAAUGUUCUUUUGUUGCUAUGGCCUAUGGCUGAUGCAAAUAAAGUUUCAUUCAUUCA